GAUCAUGGCUCAGGAUGAACGCUGGCGGCGUGCGUAACACAUGCAAGUUGUACGACGGUGCCAUGAAGUGGAGACACGGAGUGGUAUACGGAGUAGCGGACGGGUGAGUAAAGCAUGAGGAGCUGUCCUGUCGAGGGGGAUAACGUUCGGAAACGGACCCUAAUACCCCAUAGUCCGAGAGGUUAAAGGCAGAGAUGCGCGACGGGAGGUACUCGUGUCCUAUCAGCUAGUUGGUGAGGUAACGG
rnacentral:rRNA from 1 species